rnacentral:rRNA from 1 species
UGGGGAAUAUUGCACAAUGGGCGGAAGCCUGAUGCAGCGACGCCGCGUGGGGGAUGAAGGCCUUCGGGUUGUAAACUCCUUUCGACAGGGACGAAGCUUUUGUGACGGUACCUGUAUAAGAAGCACCGGCUAACUACGUGCCAGCAGCCGCGGUAAUACGUAGGGUGCGAGCGUUGUCCGGAAUUACUGGGCGUAAAGAGCUCGUAGGUGGUUUGUCGCGUCGUCUGUGAAAUUCCGGGGCUUAACUCCGGGCGUGCAGGCGAUACGGGCUGACUUGGGUGCUGUAGGGGAGACUGGAAUUCCUGGUGUAGCGGUGAAAUGCGCAGAUAUCAGGAGGAACACCGAUGGCGAAGGGAGGUCUCUGGGCAGUACAUGACGCUGAGGAGCGAAAGCAUGGGUAGCGAACAGG